AGAGUUUGAUCAUGGCUCAGGAUGAACGCUAGCUACAGGCUUAACACAUGCAAGUCGAGGGGAAACGACAUCGAAAGCUUGCUUUUGAUGGGCGUCGACCGGCGCACGGGUGAGUAACGCGUAUCCAACCUGCCCACCACUUGGGGAUAACCUUGCGAAAGUAAGACUAAUACCCAAUGACGUCUCUAGAAGACAUCUGAAGGAGAUUAAAGAUUUAUCGGUGAUGGAUGGGGAUGCGUCUGAUUAGCUUGUGGCGGGGUAACGCCACAAGGCGACGAUCAGUAGGGGUUCUGAGACGGAAGGUCCCCCANAUUGGAACUGAGACACGGUCCAAACUCCUACGGGAGGCA
rnacentral:rRNA from 1 species